rnacentral:rRNA from 11 species
CCUCAUGGAUACAUUGUCAUUGUUCUCUAAAACACCAGAGUCUGUCUGAUCUUGGAAGCUAAGUGUGGUCAACUUCGAUUACCAGUUGGAUGGGGGACCACCAGUGAAUCCCAGGUGCUGUGGGCU